GAUAGAAGCAGUCUGUAGAGCUGUUUGGGUCUAACUUAGGCAUGACAUGCAGGAGUGGAGCCUGCCAAGGCUUCAAUACUCUGUUUUCUCGGAGUAAAGAUUUUGAUUUUCGGACUCAAGAUUGUGGCUUGCCUGAAUGGAUUCUGCAAUGCAGCUUUGAAAGAGAGAAAUGCUUCAGGAUAGACCCGUUGUCAUUGGAGCAAUUUUAUGGUUUUACUGGAACAAGAAAACUGGAGACCAGGACAGAUUUCUGUUUUGACAUGUAUGUCGUUGUAUGUGCACCUUUACUCCUGGAUGGACUUGUACACUGGUACCAACCUGCAGAUUGGGUGUACCUGAAGACAGGGUCAGAUAAGGAGAAGUGGAGAGGACCCUUCCAGACUUUACUCACCACCCAUGCAGCAGUCAGACUCAAGGGAAUCAGCCUACGGAUUCACUGCAGUAGAGUCAAGCAGGUUUCUCAUAACAAUAAGUAAUGCAUUUAUUAAAGGUGAGGGAAUGAAUGUGAAAGUGAAAAUUUGGUUUUAACAUUAAUACAAGGGUUUGGUAGGAUGUGCAAUGUCACUAGCAUCUGCGUAAUCAUAAUUAUAAGAGGUAUAGGACUGUAUAAGAUGUAUUAAAAGAUAUUUUGAAAGAAAUAUGUGGAAGUAAUUAGAAGAACUAACUAUUUACUUCCCAAGGAGGAAAUUGAUACCUGGCAAUUAAUUAACCACAGGACCCUUGCAAGGACCUCAUACUAACACAGAGCGUGUGCAGUAUUAGAUUUUAACAUAUAUAGUAAUUCUUGUAAUAGGCAGGCACUCUGUGGAAAAUGUAUGAAUAUUCACACAUGUUCAGUGUAUCUGUGUAUAUCUAUCAAUGUAUCUAUUCAAUCAAUCUGUGUGCUUUUAGCUCCUGGCUUUGCACGUUAGGCGGAGCAAUCCCCUGUGCAUCCAAUAACACAAUAACAAUAUUGUCACAAUAACAAAUGCCUGCUUCUUAAUGCUACAUUAGCACUAAUGAGUUUUGUUCCUGAUUUCAGUGGCAGAAUUGGUGUUAUUUCUUUUUUUUUUCUUUUUUUUUUUUUCCCCCCACCAAGUAUGAGGGCAAGACGUUAUGUGGGUGUAUGAGGUAUCUUUAGAUAUGCAGUGAGACGACUCAGGCACUGGGGAAAACUCAUCUCUGGAUACUGUCUCUGUCUCCCAUUUUAUUUAAGUUUCUUUCAGCUGCUGCCAUGAGCCCAGGAUAUCUCUUUUCAGCUGGCAGGAGCUGACAUAGCAGAAAUAGUUGUCAAAUAUGAUAUAGGUUCUCCCUUUGAAUGCUCCUUCUUGCACCAUUCUUGGUACAGUUUAGGGUACCAGUAGAAGAAAUGAAGAAAGCAGACAUCAAAGAUACUGCACAAGGUCAGUCAGCACUGAGAAGAGCCAACCGUCCUUCUAUAUCUGAUGCAAAGUGCCACAUCUUAGUUUUGUUUUCUUUUUCAAAAACUCUACUGGAAUUUGAAGAGGUUUUAAAACACCAGUACAUGAUUUGAAUAAUUGUAUGCUCCAAGGCAUGUAUGCCACCCAGAACAACUGGUCUGUCCCAGAGAAAUAGUACAACACUUCCGAAACGGAAGAAAAGCCUGACUUCUACUGACUUCAGUCUUCUUUUGCAAGUGGGACUUCCCACUGAGAAUCUAAAUAUGCAUCAGAUGUCUAAAAACAGUAAAUCAUUUAAGGGUUUUAACUGGGAAAAUAGUUCCGCAGCCCUUAUGAAUUAUUACUUUUUCACAUUAUUGCAAUUAAAAAUCCUCAUUUUCUCAGUGUUUGCAUAAGCAAAGUGGUUUCCUACGGUGAAUGCAGCUCCACUGAAGGAUGUGAUACCUACUCUGCAUUGGUGCUCUCUGUUCCAACGGGUGCAACUCUGCCAAUACUGCAGAAAUUUGAGGAUGCUUUUCUCUGAAGCAGUAGUGUUUAAAAUUUCAUCCUGUCCAUUAGAUUGCUCCAGAAUUAGCCUUGUAAGUACAUCUGAGUUCUGUGGCAUCAUGUUGCACUAAAAGCCAGUCUCUGAGAUGAGGGACUCAGGCAGUUUAUUUAUAGUUCAGAAGGUCAAAUAGUUGCCUUAAUUGGAAAACACCACUCACCAGUCUCUGAGCAUAUUGAUGUACUUUGCAUUCGAUGCCAUUAGAUACUUGUGUGAGUUUCUAAUAUCACCUUUGUUAAUAAGAUACAUUCUCCAUAAUGGGCUGCUUGCAGGUUCCAAGAGCCAUUUAUAUGCUAAGUUUGACAAGUUAGAUGAUGCUAAACCCAUACUGAAAGCAAUAGCUGUCAGAACUGUACCUGGGUGCCAGGCAGACGUCUGUGACCUUCAAACUGUUUUGGGAUGGGAUGUGCUAAAUCCCAUCUGUAUGGUAUGUGACCAGGCAGCAAAGGUAUUUCUUCAAAUAUAUCUUGAAUUCCUGCCAGAAAAGUUGUAUAUAAACCUCACAGCAAAAGCUUGAUGGACUUGGCUUGUAGUAGAAGGAAGGUGAAAUAAAGUCACAGAAUCACAGAAGUUGGAAGGGACCUCAAGAGAUCAUUGAGUCCAACCCCCUGCCAAAGCAGAUGCCCUACAACAGGUCACGCAGGUUGGUGUCCAGACAGGACUUGAAUAUCUCCAGAGAAGGAGAAGGCAAGGUGCUCCCAACAUGUCUGAAUUAAAGCAUACGAUAGCAAACACACUGAGUGAUUUGAGAGACCUGAAGAUCUCUCAUCCAUAGAGAUGCAGAUUAGGGAAAAAAAAACACAAAAACAAACCUCUUCUCAACGCAAAGGAAACUAUCUUAAAGAAGUCUAAAAAAUUCCUCUUGAUUUCACUUCUGCUGUUCCCACACUUUCCCUUGCCUACUAUUGUUGCUGAAGGUCAUGUCAAGUUUUACAUGUAGUAUGGCCCAGUAGACACAUGAUCUUAACCAUAGGAGGAAGGCAAAAUGUUAAUGUUCAUUGUGUGGAUUUAUGUAGGAAGGGAGCAAGGAAGAGGAUUAAUAUGGAGGUGGCUAAUGCUGGGACUACUCCAAGUUUCUCUGGAAUCGAGCUCAGGAUGGCAUAUACAAAUAGGAAUCACACCUCUGGUUUGAUGUGAGGGGGUGUGACUAGUGAAGUUGCUGAUGUGAAGUUUUCUGGGUCCCUUAAGAGGUUAGGGGAGAAUAAGGCUAAUAUUAGGAAGGGGAUAAAGGCAUGGGCUGAGAUGUGAAGGAAAGCUAGUUGUGAGAGAUCAAGUCCAGUGGUGACUAUUAUUAAGCUUAGCUGGCUGGAGGUGAACCUGAGGAUGUCUUUUAAUGAGAAGUAGUGAUAGAAGGGAUGGGUUGGGAGGUGAAUUAGGGAAUUGCUGACUAUUUUUAGUAGGGGAUGGGAUUUUCAGAUGUUGAGGGCCAUUAUUUUAUUAUCUAUGGGCUGAUAGAUUAAUUAUUAACAUUGAUAGAGUGAAGAAUCCUCAGUAGGUUUUGAUUAAGCCUGUGGAAUGUAGUUGUGAUUUUGCUUGCUGUCAGGUGGAGGUUAGCAAAGCCUUUGGGGCCUAUUUUCUUGUGUCAGGAUAUAUCGAUUAGGUGAAAGGCAAUUUUUUGUCCUUUAUUUAGUAGGUCUGUACAGCUGGAUCAGAGCAUUAGGGAGCUUAAAGUAGCCUAAGGAGGAGAAGUUUCUAAGGGUACUUACUUUGUUUUAAGGGGAAGUAAAGGUGUGGGUUAUAUUUGAAGUUCUAGAACUAGAAUAAUUCUGAGAAUUGUGAGCACAUAUAUAUGUAUUUAUAUAUAUAUAUAUAUAAAAACACUAAUAACCCAAUGAAACAUCCUACCAGUCCAAAUCACAUCCAUCCAAAACUCUAUCAUUUAUCAUAAACUUCAUAAUCCCUCUAUCCUUAAAAAUAGACCCAUGCUCAAUACUAUUUUUCCAAUUGCAUAAUUUGUAACUUGAUCAAUCCUGGAAUUUGUAACAUGAUGUAUAGCCUCAGAACUCUGUAUCAAGAAAUUCUUCACCUAUCUUCUUUACGUCCAAAUUGCCAUACUAACCAUUGCAAACAGCAUAUUCCUUCUUUUGUAGGCUGAGAGGAAUUAUGUCAUUCCUAUUCAUUGGCUGAUGACAAUGUCAAGCCAAAACUAACACAGCAGCAUUACAAGCUGUAGUCUACCACCAGAUUGAAGAUAUAUAAGGCAAUGUAAUAUAACACAAAAUAGAGAUAAGCAUGUGAGUUUUUAACACUUGAAUUCAGUACUGUGCAGUACAAAGUACAAAGGAUCUAAGUAGAAUAAAUUUAAAUUUAAGAAGGUAAGCAGUUUUAGUUAGUUUAAAAUGGCAGGCUGGAGUAUUUAUUUGAUAAAAAGUCAUUCAAGUAUUUGACAGAAAGUCAUAGAAAUGAAAAAGCUAGACAUAACUGUUUUUAAAACAGCAUAACAACAUAAAAUGGGAAGAAGGGAGACUGAGAUUGUACUAUUAACGUUUUCAUGAAGAAACAAAACACCAGACUUAAACAAGCAAACUCUAGUGGAGGAAAUAGAAACCCUAUUUUCUGAAGAGUGUGCAGUGAGACAUAAUGGCUGUAUAACUUCUAAAAGUUUAUAGUUUAGUGAUGCAGGCUCAGAAUAAAAGAAUUCAAUAGCAAAAUGAGUCAACACUUAAACCUAAAUUGUAAUUUAUAAGGGACUCUCUUCUCACGCAAAUCAAAUUUGGAAGCAGAAUAAUGUCUUCUGAUAGCGAGGCAGUAUUUGCUGAAUGUUCUGGGUGGCAGUUUGCAAUACACAGUCAUUUGAAAUUACAUUUAUAAAAUAAAUGUUCAAUUCAAAACAAUUUUUAGCCUAUUUACUGACACAUAAUACAAAAUUGUUGCUACACUAUAUAUUUCUUCAUAUAAGGCAUUGCAACACGCAGACAGUAAUGAAAAAUGGAGGCAACAGAGAGUUCUUGCAAAUGAAAGCAAGAAUGUAACUCUGUUCUUCCUGCUUCCCACCAGGGAAUGGUGGCUUCCAAAACACUGGAAAACAAGGCAGUUGGUGAGAAAGUCUCAGAAUUGACUCCAUGUGUUAAAAAAAGAAGGCCAAACAAAGCCAAGAGUGGUCACUCCCUGGCAUGUGCACCCUGCCUGAUACUUCAGGGAGAACAGAGUCACAUGGGCCUACACAUCACUGUCUCUCUCCUUCACUCUGCAUCUGCCAGGACAGAUGCAAUAAGGAUGCUGGUGCAUAUUGAAACUCUGCUCUUCCAGUGGAUCUCAGCAGAAUGCACACUGAAAUUUCUCAUAGCUGAUGUACUCUCCUCACCGCUUAGAAGCCCCACUCACAGCAUCACAUAACAGUCCAGACUGAAAGGGACCAUAAAGCCCACUCAGGCCCAACCCACUGCCAUGGCCUGGCUGCCCCCUCCAGCUCAGGCUGCCCAGGGGCCAAUCCAACCUGUCCUUGAGUGCCUCCAGGGAUGGGGCACCACAACUUCUCCGGGCAGCUGUGCCAGGGCCUCACUGCCCUCUGAGUAAGGAAUUUCAUCCUAACAUCUAACCUAAAUCAUGAGUUUUUCGGUUCAAAACUAUCACUCCUUUUCCUAUCACUAUCACUGCAAACUGUCAAAGAGUGCACUCAGCCCCACUGUCCAUGUCAAUGAGAGAUGUUCAGUAGUGCCAGUCCCAACACACACCCCUGAGGAACACCUCCUAUUACUUUUCUCCACCUGGACAUCAAGCCAUUGACCUCAGUUCUUUGAGUGAGACCAUCUGGCUGAUUUGGUCUGCAGCUGCUAGUAUUAUUUGUGUAUCCCCAGUAAGUUCACAAUCCAUACAAAAACAUUCAGACUUUGAUUAAGUCUUGCAAUGCGAAUCUAGGACAACGUUAGAUAAACUGAAUUUGCAUGUGAAAUUAAAUAGCACUAGGGACACUGUUCUGAGUUACGAAUUUUCACUUUUCAUUUAAUUAAGAACUUGUACUUUCAAAGUAACCUGAAUCUAUCACAUAAUCUCCAGUAGUACGCACCACAGUGCUGCAGGAACUGUGAAACUUUUAGCUAAACUUUAGAAUAGCAUGGCAUAAGCAUAGCAUAGUUCAGUUGGAAGAGACCUUCAGACAUCAUCCAGUCCAAGUGUCUGACCUCAUCAGGGCUAAACAAGAGUUAAGUUAAUGAAAGCAUCAUACAAAUGCCUCUUGAACAGUGAUACAGAUGGGACAUCAACCACCUCUCUAAGUAGCCUGUUCCAGUGUCUGAUUGCACUCACAGCAAAGACAUUUUUCCUGAUGUCCAUCUAAUCCUCCCAUGGCACAGCUAGUGCUGUUCCCAUCCAGUUCCUAGGAGCAGAGCCAGGUAACUUCCUCUCCAUUCCUCUCCUCAGGGAGCUGCAGAGAGCAGUGAGGUCACCUCUUGGCCUCCCAUUCUCCAGACUAGACAACCCCAGUGUCCUCAGCCUCUGCUCACAGCACAUGCCUUACAACACUGUUACCAGCUUUGUUGUUCUCCUCUGGAUGCUUUCAAGGACCUUAUCAUCCAUUCUGUAUUGUGGAGCCCAGAACUGCACACAGCACUCCAGGUGAGGCCACACCAUUGCUAGAGAGAUAAAGUGGGAUAAGCAGCUCUUUGGGCCAGCUGGCCAUGCUGUGUUUAUUGCACCUCCAAAGGCAGUUUGCCCAUUUGGCUGCCAGGCCACACUGCUGGCUCACGCUGAGCCUGCUGUCACCAGCACCCCAAGGAACCUUCCUGCUGAGCUGCUCUCCAGCCACUCCUUUCCCAUCUGUGCUUGGGUCUGGCAUUGCUCUGUCCCAGGAGUAAAACUCAGCCAUUUCCUUCAUUGAACUUGAUGCCAUUGAUUAAUGCCCAGUGUUCCAAUCAACCCAGAUCCCUCUGCAAGACCUCUUGCCCCUUGAGGAAUUCAACAGCACCUCCCGGUUUAGUGUCAUCAGUAAACCUGUUAAGGAUGCACUCAACCCCUGCACCCAGAUCACUGACAAAAACAUGGAGCAUAACUGGCCCUAGACUUGCACCCUGGGAAA
ensembl:lncRNA